CAGGGUUGGUUCCACAGCUCCAACACAUCUAGGACCAGACUAGGUCAACACUCCUUCUGGAGAGCAAGUGAGAGUACAGGUUUUUACUCCAGCCCAGCUGUAACAGCUGAUUCAGCUACCAGCAAUCGACCCUAUGUUCUGAGUUCCUGAACCUAUGGUACCUGACACUCCAUCACAUUUUGAGUCACGUCUGUCUGAGACCAACAUGAAUCAGGAAGUAUACCUGCAGGGACUGGGAGACUAGUCAGAAUGGAGGGAAAGAUGAACGGAGAAAAGUACGGAGAGAUCCUUGAUGAAAACCUGCUCCAGAGUGCUCAG
rnacentral:lncRNA from 1 species